rnacentral:rRNA from 1 species
CAGCAGCCGCGGGAAUACAGAGGGUGCGAGCGUUAAUCGGAUUUACUGGGCGUAAAGCGUGCGUAGGCGGCUUCUUAAGUCGGAUGUGAAAUCCCUGAGCUUAACUUAGGAAUUGCAUUCGAUACUGGGAAGCUAGAGUAUGGGAGAGGAUGGUAGAAUUCCAGGUGUAGCGGUGAAAUGCGUAGAGAUCUGGAGGAAUACCGAUGGCGAAGGCAGCCAUCUGGCCUAAUACUGACGCUGAGGUACGAAAGCAUGGGGAGCAAACAGGAUUAGAUACCCCUGUAGUCCCUGUCUCUAUACA